GUGCGUAUAUAAUGCAGAGUGUGUGUUUGUAUGAGUGUGUGUGCGUGAAUAAUGCAGAAUGUGUGUUUGUAUGAGUGUGUGUGCGUAUAUAAUGCAGAGUGUGUGUUUGUAUGAGUGUGUGUGCGUAUAUAAUGCAGAGUGUGUGUUUGUAUGAGUGUGUGUGCGUAUAUAAUGUAGAGUGUGUGUUUGUAUGAGUGUGUGUGUAGAAUGCAGAUUGUUUGUAUGAGUGUG